UACGGAGGGUGCAAGCGUUGCUCGGAAUCACUGGGCGUAAAGGGCGCGUAGGCGGCCUAGCACGUUUGGUGUGAAAGCCCAGGGCUCAACCCUGGACGGGCACUGGAAACUGUUAGGCUUGAGUUCUGGAGAGGAGGGGGGAAUUCCCGGUGUAGCGGUGAAAUGCGUAGAUAUCGGGAGGAAUACCGGUGGCGAAGGCGCCCCUCUGGACGGCAAAUGACGCUGAGGCGAGAAAGCGUGGGGAGCAAACAGG
rnacentral:rRNA from 1 species